UAUCUCUCCGUACGGGGAAGGAUGAGAAGCUUCGACUAAGGUUCGAUUCGAGCGCAGCGA
rnacentral:sRNA from 5 species